rnacentral:rRNA from 1 species
CUGCUGCCUCCCGUAGGAGUCUGGUCCGUGUCUCAGUACCAGUGUGGGGGACCUUCCUCUCAGAACCCCUACGCAUCGUCGGCUUGGUGGGCCGUUGCCCCACCAACUACCUAAUGCGCCGCAUGCCCAUCCGUGACCGGGGUCGCCCCCUUUGGCCGGCAGGGGAUGUCCCCUCCCGGCAUUAUGUUGUAUUAGGCGGGAUUUCUCCCGGUUAUCCAUCUGUCACGGCCAGGUUGCAUACGUGUUACUCACCCGUGCGCCGGUCGCCGG